CAUUGUUGGAACGUAUUUUCCUACAUGUUAGUUAGGUGCCAUUGGACUCUCAGAGGAUCUUGGAAAGGAAAACUCAAAAUACCUUGUGUUUUGUCGAUAUGUCUCGUUCCUAGGUAAGAGAAUUACCAUAUGCAACGGGGGGACACCUGGACAUUCGCAUCAGGACCCUGAUUUGUUGUUAUUUUGCGACGUGUGUGAAGAAGGACCAUCAAAAUUCCGGUCCCGAGCGAAUUUCGGCAGGCCCGUGCAGGGAGAGCCGAAGAAGAAGAAGACGACACCAUGAACAACGCUGCUAGGCCACGCAAAAACAGAACUAGUUCGGCCAGAGGUGGCCGUGGAAAAGGUGUAGACAGGCAAAUACCUACUGAUGGCGUUUACACGAACCACCGUUUCAUGCAGUCGGUUGGCGCUUUAGUAGGCCUCCCAGUUUUGAUUCAAACAAAAACCAAUGACACUAUUGAAGGUGUGUUUACAACAUUUAGUCCCAAUUUUGACCUGGUGUUAGACAUGGCACACCCAGUCACCAGGUCUGAUUCCACCAUCAACCCUGAGACCAUCAAACGGAAGAUGAUUUUCUCUUCUAGUGAUAUUGUAACUAUAAAAGUCAACAAUGUGGAUCUAGAUUAUGCUACCAAAGACGGGUUCGCAGUAGAUCAGGUUAUUAGUCGUUUUAACGGUCAAGUAACUGAACGACCAUUAGAGCCUUGGCAAGGGGAUGCCAAUGCUGAGGACAAUAUAGCCCUUGGAGAGGAAAGCUCGGUGAGUGGGAAUGGGUGGGAUGUCGAUGAUAUGUUUCGUAAAAAUGAAGAAAAAUACGGUGUGACAACUUCUUACACGCCUGAAAUGGAAGGAUACACUACCCCUUUGAAUAGGCGUAAUACUCGUGAAUAUAGAGAAAGAGAAGCUAAGGCACAAAGAAUUGCAGCAGAGAUCAUGAGCUCUCCAGCCACACAGGUGCGAUCAGAAGCAGAGAAUGGAGACGAGGAAGAUAGGUAUUCAGCUGUUUUAAGGCCUGCUGAUCAGGCAGCAAGUGGUGGAGGUGGUGGUGGAGGCGGUGGUGGUGGCGGGGGAGGAGGAGGAGGAGGAGGAGGAGGUAGUGCUUCCAAGUAUGUUCCCCCAAUGCUGAGAAAGAAGAAUCAGAACACUGGGAAAUUGAUGCGUUUAACUUCUCCUCCUGGUCCGGGUAGCCGUUACAGUGGCUCUAAUCCGACGACACCAACCUCGCCUUCAUGCACUGGACCACCACCAGUGUCCUCAGGUAGUCACAGUCCCAUUGGGGGUCCCAAUGGCCCAGGGGGAGCCUCUCCUGGAUAUCCCCCUCAACAGGGGCCGCCACCAACCCACAGCCCCUCACCAGCUGCUAAUCCACCACUCCACCGUCAUAAUUCCCAUUCACACCCUAAUGACUCGAAGGUUAAUGGAGAUGCCAAAGGGUCUUAUGAUCGGCGAAAUCAUCACGAUAAUUCACUAAAUGACCCUGCUAGAGAAAAUCACCACAAUGACACUUGUAGCAAGCCGGACCACCAUAGCCGUCAGCACCACAAUGAAGGCCCGCCUCAGAAAGGCCAGCAGAAACCCCCUCCAGCUCAGCACCAGCAGCACCAAGGUCACAUGCCUCCCAUGGGCCAGGGGGAUCAUCGCAAGCAAGAACCCCGGGAGCAGCGGGAGCCGAGGAAGCAGCGUACGAACAAAGAGGAGCAGAUUGCGGAUCUGAAGAAGUUCAGCCAAGAUUUCAAGCUUUCAGAGCAGGCUGAGAAAAAAGCACAAAGCCAACAACACCAUCCAGCGGCUCCACAACAGCAGCUGCAGCAGCAAUCGGAACCACAGCAGCCACCUCCGCAAGUAUCGCAACAGCAACCACAACCUCCACAGCAGCAGCAGCAGCAGCAGCAACCCCCACAGCAACAACAACAGCAACAGCAGCAGCAGCAGCCAUCCCCACCCCAGCAUGUCCAGCAACCACCCCCUCAACCCCGACAGCAAGCACCUGUGCAGCCACAGCCACAGUCUCUCCCCCAGCCACAGCAGCAACCACCACCACCUUCACAACCACCACAACAGCAGGCACCUCCCCAACAACCACCUCCGCCUCAGCAGCCUCUACCUCCCCAGCCCCAGCAACAGCAACCAUCUCCUCAGCAACCACAGCAGCAACCACACAUGGCCCCACAACCUCCACAGCAAAGACAAACCCCUCCAGUUUCUACACCUGUGCCUCAGGGUCCUCCGCAGAGUGUUGCUCCAACUUCGCAUCACCCUCAGAACACUCCUGCCAUGACUAUGAGCCCUGUGCCAGAAGUGAGCAAAGCACAUGAGGAACCCGACAAGAUGUCUACUGUUACCAAUUCGAAGUUGAAUCCCAAUGCCAAGGAAUUUAUUUUUAAUCCCAAUGCCAAACCAUUUAGUCCCAGAUCACCAAGCACAACAACACCACCAAGGCCUCACACACCGCAAACACCCCAAAUUCCUACAAACCAACCCCCGCAGAUGCCUGGCGGAGCUCCUUCUGUUGGUUUCCAGCAAGCCGCUAUGGUGUCUGCUUAUGUGAUGGCCUCCCAGCCUUACCCAACGCAGCAUCAGCCUCCAAGAUUUACUAAGAGACUUCCACUAGGUAGCAAUCAGCGUCCAGAGUUCACUUCACAGAUGCAAGUUGCUGCUGCAACAGGUCAGCCUAUACUGGCCCCACCACCCAUGAACACUCAACCUCAGGCACUUACGACAGUGCAGAUUCCACAAAACAUGUUGGCUCAAGCACCUCAGCCUUAUCAGCAAUACCCAGGUAUGCCCAUGAUGUUAAGAUUCCCGCAUGCUGGCAUGCAGAUGGUGACAGCAGUGGUGCCAACAUCUAUGGGCAUUCUAAGCCAAGCAACUGACUCUCAGCAGCAGUCUCAGCAACACAGUCACCAAACAAUGUAUAUGGCCCCGAGCAGUAUACCACCACACCAGCCACAUCCAGCUCAUACUCCAGGCCCUGGUCCACAGCCCACACAGCCACCUACCCCGCAGAAUCCAGGAGGGGGUGGAGGACCUCCAACUAUGCCAACGCAGCCUCCAACUCCAGGACCCACUCCACCACAGCCACUGUUAUAUUCUCAAAUAGGCCAUCCAUCUUUGCCUCAGCAUAUACCACAACAUUGCCCUCAUACAGCCCAGUCUCCCCAUGCGCAUCAAUAUCCAGGUCAGAAUGCAGCUGUGGCAGCAGCAGCAGCUGCUGCUGCUGCCGGAGGACAUCAUGGGGCACCAGGCCAACAGAUGGCUGCUCAAAUUGUGAUGCUUCCUCCUAACAUUGCCGCUGCAGGGCCUCAGAUGAUGCAUCCCUCAGGGCCACCCCCACAUUCAGCUACAGCACACAUUCCCUCCUCCAUGGCGGGGAGUUUCACACCUACGUCGUCAACGGGUGUACAGCACAUGGCCUCGGCGCCUCAUAUACAAUAUCUACAAGCUGGCUAUCCAACUUCUUAUGAGAGACCUAAAAUGAGAAAAUUAAAGUACCCACAUUAUUAUGCCUCGUUGACCACACUACGUUAAUAUUCCUAUCCGAUUUAAGCAGCUACUAUCAUAUGGUUUCCUGUGGCUGCUCUUUAAAAGGGAAGAUUCAUAUGAAAAAAUUAUGGCAGGGAAAUGGCUGUUAUUUUAUAUGGCUCCAGGGCAUUUUUAUUGAAAUAAAAGAGUGACAUCAAGCAACAAUGACAGGCCCCUCAUACUUUUGGGACAUGGCCCACAAAUCGGCGGACACCGCUGUAGGAUCUGUAGUUGAUGUUCAGUAUAUGUAGCUGCCUGGGCUCCAUCAGACCGAAAAGCAUCUUGCCCAAGAUUAUCUGCAAGGCCAGCAAUUAGAGGAGAGAUAAGUAGUGAAGACACUAAAAGAAAAAAAGAAUGCAUGCAGGGUUUCUUUUCUCACAAAGUUUGAUAAUCCAAUGGAAAAAUGCCUAUAGAAAACUUAGAUGGCCUGGAUGUGCCACUAAAAUCUGACCACAGGUCUUGUAAUGUGAUCCAGGCUUAUGCAUUAACUUCAGUGGAAAGUUUCACUACUACUUCAACUUAAAAAGCUCCAUCAGUCCUUGCAACAGAAGGGCAUUUCCAGUUUAUCUCCAGACCUAGUAGACAAAGCAAGCCAUGUGAAAGGUACACCUUCAUCCACCUACUCUACAAACGAUUCAAGAUGGGUACACACUUAUCAGACUGAAGGAUUUAACCAUGGAAAGUUCCCAAGAUGGAAAGAAGCUAAAAUCUGAUUGUGUGUUCAUUUAGUCAUUUCAGAGUUUUCCUUCUGGUGUCUUACUUUCGUGAAGCGUCUUGAGAUGAAGGACUACUCAAAACGAGCAACCUUCCUAGACUUAAUUUACAGUCUGUUACCUGAGCGACAAGUCUUUUUAGGGUCUUGACUGUUAUAUUUAAUUAGAGGUGCCUUAAAGCAAUAAUGAAAUGGCCCUUAUAAAAAAUUUAAGCUGUUUUCCAAUGUGGUCUUCCAGUGCUGACUCCUCUCACCUCAAUCUUGGUUAGUUUGUCAUCAAUAAAGUUUACUUUGCCAACUCUUGGACGUUGACAUGCAAUGAGACAUCCUUUGCCUGAUCUACAUGAUUUAGUUCACAAUAAGUAUUGUAGGCUGCUGCCACAAACUGUUACUUUCUGGCAUCAGGUUUAAUACUACCAAAUUUGCUAAGGCCAAAUAUUUAUGUGAGAAGCAAUUACAAUUCUGCUUUCUGCUAUCUGAAUUUCA